GCGGGACUAGCUCAGUGGUAGAGCAUCGCCUUGCCAAGGCGGGGGUCGCGGGUUCAAAUCCCGUGUCCCGCUCCA
rnacentral:tRNA from 1 species